rnacentral:rRNA from 1 species
GACGAACGCUGGCGGCGUGCUUAACACAUGCAAGUCGAACGGAAAGGCCCCUUUGGGGGUCCUCGAGUGGCGAACGGGUGAGUAACACGUGAGUAACCUGCCCUUGACUUCGGGAUAACUUCAGGAAACUGGGGCUAAUACCGGAUAGGAAUCCUUGCUGCAUGGUGGGGGUUGGAAAGCUUCGGCGGUUUUGGAUGGACUCGCGGCUUAUCAGCUUGUUGGUGGGGUAGUGGCUUACCAAGGCUUUGACGGGUAGCCGGCCUGAGAGGGCGACCGGCCACAUUGGGACUGAGAUACGGCCCAGACUCCUACGGGAGGCAGCAGUGGGGAAUAUUGCACAAUGGGCGGAAGCCUGAUGCAGCAACGCCGCGUGCGGGAUGACGGCCUUCGGGUUGUAAACCGCUUUCAGCAGGGGCGAAGCUUGUGGUGACGGUACCUGCAGAAGAAGCACCGGCUAACUACGG